GCGGGCGUGGUGAAACUGGUAGACACAAGGGCCUUAAAAGCCCUCGCCGCUAGGCGUACGGGUUCGACCCCCGUCGCCCGCA
rnacentral:tRNA from 2 species